rnacentral:tRNA from 1 species
GGCAGUGUGGCUCAGUAGUACAGCACUUGCCCAGCAAGCACGAAGCCCUAGGUUUGAUCCCUAGCACUGCAA